CGUACUGGGCGAACGUUAUUCGGAAUCACUGGGCUUAAAGGGUGCGUAGGCGGCUUCUCAGGUCCGGUGUGAAAUCUUACGGCUCAACCGUAAAAUUGCGCUGGAAACCGGGAGGCUUGAGUGUGCUAGGGGUGUGUGGAACUUCCAGUGGAGCGGUGAAAUGUGUUGAUAUUGGAAGGAACGCCGGUGGCGAAAGCGACACACUGGGGCAUAACUGACGCUGAGGCACGAAAGCUAGGGUAGCGAACGGGAUUAGAUACCCCGGUAGUCCUAGCCGUAAACGCUGGGUACUAGUUGGGAGGGACUUCGGUCUCUCCGGACGCAGAGAAAUCACUAAGUACCCCGCCUGGGGAGUAUGGUCGCAAGGCUG
rnacentral:rRNA from 1 species